GGACGGGUUCCCUGGAGCAACGCCAUGCUCCAGUGGCAGUGCACUCGGUUCCAUUUCCAGCCCAUGAACUAGAUGAACGGGGCAUUGUACUGAUUUUUCUCCUUUGAUUACUGGAGCCCGAAAGUGAGGCCACGACCAGGAGCUAGGAGACGGUGGACUAGACAUUUUUCUCCCUGUUAAUUUCGUCUCUCUCUCCAUAAGUUUCUAUCACUCCUCUCUGUUGUUAACUUUCUCUCCGUUAAUUCUUUAUGAAGAAUCAACAGAUUGUCAAUCCCACUCUGAAUGAGUGCGACGGGUUCAGUGGGCAUCUGUGACUAUAUCCUACAGCUUCGUAUAAUCUAUGUAAUUGAGCUAUUUUUGGCACUCUCGAA